AUUGAACGCUGGCGGCAGGCCUAAUACAUGCAAGUCGAGCGAGGGGCGGACGGGUGAGUAAUGUAUGGGGACCGUCCGUUAGAGGGGGAUAACUACUGGAAACGGUAGCUAAUACCGCAUACUAUCGGAUAACCCUUAUGGGAUUAGCUAGUAGGUGAGGUAAUGGCUCACCUGGGUGACGAUCCCUAGCUGGUCUGAGAGGCUGAUCAGCCACACGGGGACUGAGACACGUCCCGGAGUCCUGCGGAGGCAGCAGAUGGGAAUGUUGCGCAAUGGGCGGGAACCUGGUGCAGCCAUGCAACGUGUAUGGAGAAAGCCCCAGGGUUGUAAAGUACGUUCAGUGGGGAGACGUUACCGGCAGAAGAAGCACCGGCUAACUCCGUGCCAGCAGCCGCGGUAAUAC
rnacentral:rRNA from 1 species